rnacentral:rRNA from 1 species
UACGUAGGGCGCAAGCGUUAUCCGGAAUUAUUGGGCGUAAAGAGCUCUGUAGGCGGUUUGUCGCGUCUGCCGUGAAAGUCCGGGGCUCAACUCCGGAUCGUGCGGUGGGGUACGGGCAGACUAGAGUGAUGUAGGGGGAGACUGGAAUUCCUGGUGUAGCGGUGAAAUGCGCAGAUAUCAGGAGGAACACCGAUGGCGAAGGAGGUCUCGUGGGCAUUAACUGACGCUGAGGAGCGAAAGCAUGGGGAGCGAACAGG